UACCAGCACCCCGAGUGGUCGGGACGAUUAUUGGGCCUAAAGCAUCCGUAGCCGGUUCUGCAAGUCUUCCGUUAAAUCCACCUGCUCAACAGAUGGGCUGCGGAGGAUACUACAGGGCUAGGAGGCGGGAGAGGCAAGCGGUACUCAGUGGGUAGGGGUAAAAUCCUCUGAUCCACUGAGGACCACCAGUGGCGAAGGCGGCUUGCCAGAACGCGCUCGACGGUGAGGGAUGAAAGCUGGGGGAGCAAACCGG
rnacentral:rRNA from 1 species